UACGUAGGGUGCAAGCGUUUGUCCGGAAUUAUUGGGCGUAAAGAGCUCGUAGGCGGUCUGUCGCGUCUGCUGUGAAAACUCAGGGCUUAACCCUGAGCUUGCAGUGGGUACGGGCAGACUAGAGUGCGGUAGGGGAGACUGGAAUUCCUGGUGUAGCGGUGAAAUGCGUAGAGAUCGGGAGGAACACCUGUGGCGAAGGGCGGCCAACUGGCCCCGACCC
rnacentral:rRNA from 1 species